rnacentral:rRNA from 1 species
AGUGAACGCUGGCGGUAGGCCUAACACAUGCAAGUCGAACGAGUGGCGGACGGGUGAGGAAUACAUCGGAAUCUACUCUGUCGUGGGGGAUAACGUAGGGAAACCUACGCUAAUACCGCAUACGAUUGAAUGAGCCGAUGUCGGAUUAGCUAGUUGGCGGGGUAAAGGCCCACCAAGGCGACGAUCCGUAGCUGGUCUGAGAGGAUGAACAGCCACACUGGAACUGAGACACGGUCCAGACUCCUACGGGAGGCAGCAGUGGGGAAUAUUGGACAAUGGGCGCAAGCCUGAUCCAGCCAUACCGCGUGGGUGAAGAAGGCCUUCGGGUUGUAAAGUACUUUCAGCGGGGAGGCGUUACCCGCAGAAGAAGCACCGGCUAACUCCGUGCCAGCAGCCGCGGUAAUUC